rnacentral:rRNA from 1 species
GCUUUGACUGUAUCCUGGAAUUGGGUUUCGGCUUUCUUGCGCAGCUCUAGGUGGGAGGCCUAUGAAGACUUUCCUUCCGGGAGAAGCUAGGAGCCAUCAGUUGAGAGACCACUCUGGAAGAGGCUAGAAAUCUCUAAUGGUCGAUUCCUUGAAUCAGGACGCUUGACAUUUUCAGGUGGGCAGUUUUUCUGGGGCGGAAGCCUCAUAAAGCGUAACUGAGGCGCGCAAAGGUUCCCUCAGUCUGACGGAAAUCAGACAACGAGUGUAAAGGCAAAAGGGAGCUUGACUGCAAGACCCACAAGUCGAGCAGGAGCGAAAGCUGGCCUUAGUGAUCCGACGGUGCCGUGUGGAAGGGCCGUCGCUCAACGAAUAAAAGUUA